rnacentral:lncRNA from 1 species
AAAAGCAAAGGCUGCUUAUGAGCUUGUUCAUUUAGAUUGAAACUGGUAGCUAGUUCCUUACGUGCAGAUGUAUUCUCUUGAGAAACAUGACGCCUUAAAAAAUAUACACGGGACACUUUAGAUUGAACUCAACAACAAAAGUUUGUGUUCUAUUAAGUGUCUGUACAGUUGUCCAUUAACCUGAACAUCAUCAACCUAACUUGGAAACAUAAAAUUGUUACUGCCAGAGUUCAUACUUCCAUAUAUGUUGUGCCUCCUUUCGAAUUCUCUACAAUUGGGUACUCAAGAUUGAAGCUGAUUGUACCUCCAACCUUUACUGGGACAAAAAAAAAGACCAUUUCACUGUCGAGAAUUACAAGAGUGCUCAAUUUCAUCAACUAUUCAUUUCCCAUAUUCAUUACUCUAGUAAUGGUUACUUUGCUCCUAAACUAGCAGUACUCCCACUGUACAUGUUUUGGAUGUUUUUUGGCUUUCAAAAUCGAUUGCUGCUCGUGGUGUUAUCAAAUUUCCAAAAAAGCACCAGCUGCAAUCAAGAAUAGUACAUUACCUAUCCACUUUUUUAAAGGACAUUACAUAUCCACUUAAUCCACAACACACUCCUACAGAAAUCAAGUCAUUUUUUCCCUCUACUAAUGUAUACAGGAAGCAUCAUUUUUUCAGGUUUAGUCAUGACUGCCUCUUUGCGAGGCAGGUAAGCCAGGAACCCGUCGGCUGCUCUGCUUCCACUGCUGGGGAGUGGUGAGGUGGAACACCGAAUGAGGAGGGUAGCGAAGGAACCACUGUGAAUUUUUAACAUCAUAAGAUAUUUAUGUACUGCAAAUAUUCUGAAAUUUGUACACCAGCCAGUAUGCACUCUCUAGCAAGCAGCCAAAUAUUCUGAAAUAUGUACAACAGCCAGAAUGGACAACAACCUAUCUUCAGGUAUAGCUAGCAACCAAUGAACUAUUUUAUGAAAAACAAUCAGUGAAUAUGAUACGGCAAUUGUUGCCUCUAAAACAAAAUCACUAAGUUGUAGUUUACAAAUUAUGAUGCUAUACAUGUCACCAAUUGUCUACCUUCCUACGGCACUAACUUCUUACCAGUCGACACCGAAGCGCCACCCUCGUCGAAGGACCUAUUUGAACUCUCAAUUUACCAACAACGACCUUCUCAAUUAAAACAUGGUGCGCCCAAACUGCAGUGCAAAGGAAAAUUUCAACCACUUUGCAAAAAGGUCGGAAUAACUCUGGCCAAAAUGAUUCCAGUUGAAAAACGUGAAUGCUGCUGAACUAACUUGUUUAUUUGUAACCAAUCUCACUUGUUUUAAUACCAGAAAAAAUUAUGCAUUUAAUAUAAAAAAAUACACAACAUAUGCACAACCAUACAUUAUCCACCCUAAAUGAAGCUUAAUUCCACAAAAGGAUUAUCUUCAUCAUUAGCAUUAGAAAGGGGAUAAAAAUCUUACAUGUAAAGCAACAUCCUAUGACAGAGUACACGCUAAUGAAUUAUGUAUUAUUUAAACUUACUGACAGGACACAAAAUAACUUGGUAUGAAUGUUCAUGAUAUUCAUUAUGUGAUCGAGUGGUGGAAAAAAUGGUGGACGAAAUGUUAAUGGAAUACCUUAUGUGGACUUUGGAACUGCAAUAUGAUACAGGCAACGAACAAGUAUAGUAGAUAAAAAUUCUCCAGCUUCCAUGGCACCGAUAUGGUCAAAAUAAUAACCAUGUAUUCCCUCGUGUGCAUUAACAAUAGCAUCAAUCUGGAAACUUACUGCAUUGCUGUGGUGAUUCGCAACGGAACCACAUGUUUCUUCUUGCAUCAUGCAACAUCAGUCUCUGCAAAUCUAACAUAUCAUCAGCUUACUAAGCAUUUCCACAAGCAUUUACCAAGCACCAAUCAAUAAAUCAUCAAAUUGACGGAACAGUUUUAGCAUCUUCACAAACAUGCAUCAAGCAACACAAAAACAAACAAGCAAGCAAAUUCCUCCCAGCAAGGAACGCAUGUUGACCUCAAAGAUUUUACUGUUGUUUUAAGAUUGAAUUUGGGAGCACGCCCAUGGAGCGGAGGUUGAUGAUAGCAGCCGCAUCCUCCCAUGGGAGGAGUGGGGCGGCGACGAUGGAUCACGCCUUGCCGGCGAAGUCCAAGGGAGGCGGCAGAUCCCGCUGUGCAAGGGCGUCCUGCGGCUUCUGUACAUGUUGCAUCUGACACAACACAGGAGACGAACCUCCUAGCAAAAAGAGUAAAUGGUCAUUCAAUAAUUAUGAUAUGCAGAGUAUGAACAUACCAUUUGUGUGUGUGUGUGUGUUGGUUAUGUUUCUCAAAGGUGUACAUUCCUUGGAUCCUAACGAAGCAUGUGCCUCAGCUGUUAGUUGACCAUUAACAAUAUUCAGAGCCUGAGCAGUUCGUUAUGUCUUUAAAUGGGGAACGAUGCGUAGUCGUUCCUGGAACUUUGUCUGGAUUACUCUUGCACAUCCUUUAGGAAAAACAAAAAUGUUAAAGAAAAAUCAACAAAGUACAGAAAGAGGUGAAAAAGCAUAUAUAAUAAUCAGACAUUGGAACAGUAUGUACAAUGUGCGACUACAGAGUUCAGAGUAAGCAACAUAAAGUGCAGGAGCCUCAACAUAGAUAGACAGAUCGGAAUCAUCUUCCCAUUAUGUACAUCUAUCCCAUUAUGCAGUCCACCGCUGCAAUACAUAUGUUUGCAUCUGUUUUAACUAUGGCACUCUAUGAAGCAAGCCUAGAACUCACAGCAGCAGAAAUUAGAAGGCAGUGGUAUUGAACAUGCGUACAAUUAAACCAAAAAUUGUCACUGCAACCAGGAAGAAUGUGAGGGGAAAGCACCUACAGCAUGGAGGACCGGCGGCGCCUGUGUCCGGGCGGUGCGUGGACACGGCGGCCCGAGCAGCUGG